rnacentral:rRNA from 1 species
AUUGAACGCUGGCGGCAGGCCUAACACAUGCAAGUCGAGCGGUAGCACAGAGAGCUUGCUCUCGGGUGACGAGCGGCGGACGGGUGAGUAAUGUCUGGGAAACUGCCUGAUGGAGGGGGAUAACUACUGGAAACGGUAGCUAAUACCGCAUAACGUCGCAAGACCAAAGUGGGGGACCUUCGGGCCUCAUGCCAUCAGAUGUGCCCAGAUGGGAUUAGCUAGUAGGUGGGGUAAUGGCUCACCUAGGCGACGAUCCCUAGCUGGUCUGAGAGGAUGACCAGCCACACUGGAACUGAGACACGGUCCAGACUCCUACGGGAGGCAGCAGUGGGGAAUAUUGCACAAUGGGCGCAAGCCUGAUGCAGCCAUGCCGCGUGUGUGAAGAAGGCCUUCGGGUUGUAAAGCACUUUCAGCGGGGAGGAAGGCGGUGAGGUUAAUAACCUCAUCGAUUGACGUUACCCGCAGAAGAAGCACCGGCUAACUCCGUGCCAGCAGCCGCGGUAAUACGGAGGGUGCAAGCGUUAAUCGGAAUUACUGGGGCGUAAAGCGCACGCAGGCGGUCUGUCAAGUCGGAUGUGAAAUCCCCGGGCUCAACCUGGGAACUGCAUUCGAAACUGGCAGGCUAGAGUCUUGUAGAGGGGGGUAGAAUUCCAGGUGUAGCGGUGAAAUGCGUAGAGAUCUGGAGGAAUACCGGUGGCGAAGGCGGCCCCCUGGACAAAGACUGACGCUCAGGUGCGAAAGCGUGGGGAGCGAACAGGAUUAGACACCCUGGUAGUCCACGCCGUAAACGAUGUCGAUUUGGAGGUUGUGCCCUUGAGGCGUGGCUUCCGGAGCUAACGCGUUAAAUCGACCGCCUGGGGAGUACGGCCGCAAGGUUAAAACUCAAAUGAAUUGACGGGGGCCCGCACAAGCGGUGGAGCAUGUGGUUUAAUUCGAUGCAACGCGAAGAACCUUACCUGGUCUUGACAUCCACAGAACUUUCCAGAGAUGGAUUGGUGCCUUCGGGAACUGUGAGACAGGUGCUGCAUGGCUGUCGUCAGCUCGUGUUGUGAAAUGUUGGGUUAAGUCCCGCAACGAGCGCAACCCUUAUCCUUUGUUGCCAGCGGUCCGGCCGGGAACUCAAAGGAGACUGCCAGUGAUAAACUGGAGGAAGGUGGGGAUGACGUCAAGUCAUCAUGGCCCUUACGACCAGGGCUACACACGUGCUACAAUGGCAUAUACAAAGAGAAGCGACCUCGCGAGAGCAAGCGGACCUCAUAAAGUAUGUCGUAGUCCGGAUUGGAGUCUGCAACUCGACUCCAUGAAGUCGGAAUCGCUAGUAAUCGUAGAUCAGAAUGCUACGGUGAAUACGUUCCCGGGCCU